rnacentral:rRNA from 1 species
GUGGGGAAUCUUGCGCAAUGGGGGCAACCCUGACGCAGCGACGCCGCGUGCGGGACGAAGGCCUUCGGGUCGUAAACCGCUUUCAGCAGGGACGAGGCCGCAAGGUGACGGUACCUGCAGAAGAAGCCCCGGCUAACUACGUGCCAGCAGCCGCGGUAAUACGUAGGGGGCGAGCGUUAUCCGGAUUCAUUGGGCGUAAAGCGCGCGUAGGCGGCCUGUUAGGUCGGUAGUCAAAUCCGGGGGCUCAACCCCCGUCCGCUUCCGAUACCGGCAGGCUUGAGUCUGGUAGGGGAAGGUGGAAUUCCCAGUGUAGCGGUGGAAUGCGCAGAUAUUGGGAAGAACACCGGUGGCGAAGGCGGCCUUCUGGGCCACGACUGACGCUGAGGCGCGAAAGCUAGGGGAGCGAACAGGAUUAGAAACCCCAGUAGUCC